rnacentral:rRNA from 1 species
UACAGAGGGUGCGAGCGUUAAUCGGAAUUACUGGGCGUAAAGCGUGCGUAGACGGUUAUUUAAGUCGGGUGUGAAAGCCCCGGGCUCAACCUGGGAAUUGCAUUCGAGACUGAAUAGCUAGGGUACGGUAGAGGGAAGUGGAAUUUCCGGUGUAGCGGUGAAAUGCGUAGAUAUCAAGAGGAACACCUGCGGCGAAGGCGGGUUGCUGGGCCGACACUGACGCUGAGGCGCGAAAGCUAGGGGAGCGAACGGG